rnacentral:rRNA from 1 species
GCUUAGAGUUUGAUCCUGGCUCAGGAUGAACGCUGGCGGCGUGCCUAAUACAUGCAAGUCGAACGAGAAUCCUUGAUUUCGGUUGAGGAGGACAGUGGCGCACGGGUGAGUAACACGUAGCUGACCUACCCUUCGCAGGGGGAUAACUUGCCGAAAGGCGAGCUAAUACCGCGUACGCUCUUUGGGGUUAGAGGCCUGGAGAGGAAAGCGUAUGGCAGCGGCGAAGGCGGGGGCUGCGGCCCAUCAGCUAGUUGGUGAGGUAAUGGCUCACCAAGGCGUAGACGGGUAGGGGGCCUGAGAGGGUGACCCCCCACACUGGGACUGAGACACGGCCCAGACUCCUACGGGAGGCAGCAGUAAGGAAUAUUGCCCAAUGGGUGCCAGCCUGAGGCAGCAACGCCGCGUGGAGGAGGAAGGGUUUCGGCUCGUAAACUCCUUUUCUGAGGGAAGAGGAAGGACGGUACCUCAGGAAGAAGUCUCGGCUAACUACGUGCCAGCAGCCGCGGUAAAACGUAGGAGGCGAGCGUUAUCCGGAUUUACUGGGCGUAAAGCGCGUGCAGGCGGUUAUUCAAGUCAGGCGUGAAAGCUCCCGGCUCAACUGGGAGAGGACGUAUGAAACUGGAUAACUAGAGAUAGGUAGAGGCUUACGGAAUUCCGGGCGGAGUGGUGAAAUGCGUAGAGAUCCGGAGGAAGACCAGUGGCGAAGGCGGUAAGCUGGGCCUGAUCUGACGCUCAGACGCGAAAGCAUGGGGAGCGAACGGGAUUAGAAACCCCGGUAGUCCAUGCCGUAAACGAUGCAGACUAAGUGCUAGUGACGGACAGUUGGUAGUGCUGAAGCAAACGCGAUAAGUCUGCUGCCUGGGGAGUACGGCCGCAAGGCUAAAACUCA